UACGUAGGGAGCAAGCGUUGUCCGGAAUCAUUGGGCGUAAAGCGCGCGUAGGUGGCUUCAUAAGUCCGUUGUGAAAGUCAAAGGCUCAACCUUUGAAAGCCGAUGGAUACUGUGGAGCUAGAGUACGGAAGAGGCGAGUGGAAUUCCUGGUGUAGCGGUGGAAUGCGCAGAUAUCAGGAGGAACACCAAUAGCGAAGGCAGCUCGCUGGGCCGUUACUGACACUGAGGCGCGAAAGCGUGGGGAGCGAACAGG
rnacentral:rRNA from 1 species